GCCGCCACCCUGCAGUGUCCCUCCCACCGGGGUCGGCGUGCGUGUGGCCAGAGGACUUGGGUGGCAGACAGGCCUCUCGGGCGGGCAAGGCCGGUUCCAGCUUUGGGGGCAGCCUACACCCCCGACGGGGUGUGGCUCUGUGAUUGGUGGGGCUGAGAGGGUGAAUGGUGUCAUGUUCGGUGGUUCCUUUCCCGUGAGGUUGGGCAGAAGAGCAAGUGGAUGGUGCCCAAGUCUCUGCACAUUGAAGCCCUGAGGGGCCCGGCCGACGCCACGUCUUCCCCCAGAGCUGCCGCGUCGUCGCCUCACAAGAAUGCUCGCAGCCCUGGGCAGACCCACGGUGACAGUCAAACUACAUUCUGAGUGUUUCCUGCUCGAGGAUCGGGACGGAACGACGCGGUUACGUGUCUUGCAGGUUUUGUAAGCAGAAAGGUGAGAACGGCGGCUGCCCAGAGGGAAACGACAGAGGGUUUCUUCCGUCCAUCCUAGCCGGCGGGUCACCCCGGCCUCACCGUCCCCCGCUGGCCGCAGCCGUUCAGCAGUCACCCGCUGGGGCCCGCAGCCUCGUGCUGACAAGGCGUGUGGCCCAGCGAGGGCAGGUGACGAGGCUCUUCAGACGGCAGGUGUGCCGAGGACUCUCUGGUUACGUUGUUCUCAUCUGAUCUCGAGGGCUGGGGUCUGUGAUACAACAGGAAUGAAAGGCGCGCCUGCCUUGCCUGCCAAAAAAGCCCCUUUUGUUUGUCAAAGCCUCCCCCCCCCCCAUCAGCCACCAGCUUGGCUUGGGACCUUGCUGUGUCCUGUGUCCUUACCAGUUACCCGUUUCUGGGCUGGCCGUUCUUAGAGGUGUUUGUACAUGUCAGAACGAAGCAAGCCUUCAGCUGUCUUUUCGUAAGAAAGCACGGUCCGUGCUCGCACUGGGUGCAGAUCAGUGAGGCUCGGGGAUUGGCAGAGCGCGGGUGGAGAGAAAGCUGCGGUUACUGUCACAUUGGGCUUUAGAGGAGACGCCUGUGUGGGCAGCAGCCCCAGGCUGGUCAGGACUGGGUGAAUGGAAGCGUGCGCCCGAGGGAUUCGGGGCUUUCACGUGGCUGCAAAUGAAAGGCGGGAACCCGAGGCUUCCUUCGGGGACAUCGGGAAAACGCAAGGGCAGCGGCUGUGGUGCCACCCCGCUGCAGGGACCGCCUGAUACUUUUUUGAAUUUUGCUGAGGAAAGUGUGCUUUUAAGUCCACAUCCAGGACUUGAACCAGAGGUUUCCUCGGGGAGGUGCUGGGGGCUUGGCUAGGAUGAACCUGGGGUGUUGGGACCCUCGGGGCUGCAGGAAGAGGUGACGCUUCCCCGCGCAGCAUGGUCACCGGGCUCGCAGUUUGGCUCAAGUUGCCGUCAGGAUUCUCCCCUCAGGAAGCAGUGAAGCGUGGUCAGACUUUACCUUCAAACACGUAAAUAAAUUCCACAUCUAUACCGUU